AAAAAAAAAAAAAAGGGAAGCCAUUUUUAAGCCCCAGUAUGUUUGGCAGCAAACCCCAUAUUCUGAGCUAGGGCCAUGGCCCUGGGUCUGUCAAGGAGGGUAAAGUAGCCUGAGGCCAUCAGCUGAAUGAAUAAGCACUGGCUCCUGCCAGCUGAGGGGAACUGGUGCCACAGGAAAAGGAUGUGACGAAGACCAGGAGGGAAAGUGAAACCCUUCCGUCCUGGCUUCAGUGAGGAACAAGCAUGCCUGUGCCAGACGAACCCUUCCUUCCUCUUGGGUGACUCUGGAGGGCCCAGGCCCAUUGCUUCCUUCCUGCUUGGUUAUUUCAGGAAAGAGACAUGGACGGUCACAAAGGUGAAUUCACUUGCUCAAGAUCGAACACACACAAAAUGGAGGUGGUUCAAACCCAGGUGUGUCUGACUGCAGAGCCUGUGUUCUUCCCAGUAGAGAUGUGGAUGCAGCACAAAUGGUAGAAAGGACCUGAGACUUAGUCAGAAGACCUCAGUUCACCCAAGGUAUCUGCUAUGCCCAAGGCCUCUGCUCAGUGCUGAGGAAACAAGCAUGGACAAGAUGUGGCCUCCACCCUGAGGAGCUCCUAAAUCUAGGACAGAGUAAAUCUGUUAGAAAUGUCUUCUCUGCACAUAAUUUAAGCUCUACCAACUGUUAACUUCUUUUCAUUUAUCCAAGUUUUGCCAGGUACUAUACCAAUAAAAAAAGACUCAGUCCCUCUUC